AAAGACUGACGCUCAUGUGCGAAAGUGUGGGUAGCGAAAGGAUUAGAUACCCUGGUAGUCCACACCGUAAACGCUGUCUACUAGCUGUGUGUGUAUUUUAUACGUGCGUAGCGAAGCUAACGCGCUAAGUAGACCGCCUGGGGAGUACGGCCGCAAGGUUAAAACUCAAAUGAAUUGACGGGGGCCCGCACAAGCGGUGGAGCAUGUGGUUUAAUUCGAUGCAACGCGAAGGACCUUACCUACACUUGACAUGCAGAGAACUUUCUAGAGAUAGAUUGGUGCCUUCGGGAACUCUGACACAGGUGCUGCAUGGCUGUCGUCAGCUCGUGUCGUGAGAUGUUGGGUUAAGUCCCGCAACGAGCGCAACCCUUAUCCUUAGUUGCCAGCAUUAGGUUGGGCACUCUAAGGAGACUGCCGGUGACAAACCGGAGGAAGGUG
rnacentral:rRNA from 1 species